rnacentral:rRNA from 1 species
UACGUAGGGUGCGAGCGUUGUCCGGAAUUAUUGGGCGUAAAGCGCGCGUAGGCGGCUGUCUAAGUCGGAUGUGAAAUCCCCGGGCUUAACCUGGGAACUGCAUUCGAUACUGGGCGGCUAGAGUAUGAGAGAGGGAGGUAGAAUUCCACGUGUAGCGGUGAAAUGCGUAGAUAUGUGGAGGAAUACCGGUGGCGAAGGCGGCCUCCUGGCUUAAUACUGACGCUGAGGUGCGAAAGCGUGGGGAGCAAACAGG